UACGUAGGGUGCGAGCGUUGUCCGGAAUUAUUGGGCGUAAAGGGCUCGCAGGCGGUUUGUCGCGUCGGGAGUGAAAACUCAGGGCUUAACCCUGAGCCUGCUUCCGAUACGGGCAGACUAGAGGUAUGCAGGGGAGAACGGAAUUCCUGGUGUAGCGGUGAAAUGCGCAGAUAUCAGGAGGAACACCGGUGGCGAAGGCGGUUCUCUGGGCAUUACCUGACGCUGAGGAGCGAAAGUGUGGGGAGCGAACAGG
rnacentral:rRNA from 1 species